rnacentral:rRNA from 1 species
UACAGAGGUCCCAAGCGUUGUUCGGAUUUACUGGGCGUAAAGGGUGCGUAGGUGGUCGGGUAAGUCUCAUGUGAAAUCCCGCAGCUUAACUGCGGAACGGCAUGGGAUACUAUUCGGCUCGAGGAUUGGAGGGGGACGUGGAAUUCCCGGUGUAGCAGUGAAAUGCGUAGAUAUCGGGAGGAACACCAGUGGCGAAGGCGAGUCCCUGGACAUUCCUGACGCUGAGGCACGAAAGCCAGGGGAGCAAACAGG